GGGGCCAUGGCGCAAUGGUAGCGCGUCAGAUUCCAGUUUUCCGUAAAGGAUGCAACGGAGUUUCCUGAAGGUUGGGCGUUCAAAUCGCCCUGGCCUCA